rnacentral:sRNA from 1 species
UCAGCUAUAUGAUAACCGCCAAUAGCCUU